AACGAACGCUGGCGGCAUGCCUAACACAUGCAAGUCGAACGAGACCUUCGGGACUAGUGGCGCACGGGUGCGUAACGCGUGGGAACCUGCCCUUAGGUUCGGAAUAACUCCCCGAAAGGGGUGCUAAUACCGGAUAAUGUAUUCGGACAAAAGAUUUAUCGUACUUGGAUGGGCCCGCGUUGGUUUAGCUAGUUGGUAGGGUAAAAGCCUAUCAAGGCGACGAUACAUAGCUGGUCUGAGAGGAUGAUCAGCCACACUGGGACUGAGACACGGCCCAGACUCCUACGGGAAGCAGCAGUGGGGAAUAUUGGACAAUGGGCGAAAGGCUGAUCCAGCAAUGCCGCGUGAGUGAUGAAGGCCUUAGGGUUGUAAAGCUCUUUUACCCGGGAUGAUAAUGACAGUACCGGGAGAAUAAGCUCCGGCUAACUCCGUG
rnacentral:rRNA from 1 species